rnacentral:ncRNA from 1 species
GCUGUGUGAUAUUGUGGGCUAUAGACGUGCCACAUGUUCCUAGACAAAGAGAUGCAAAAAUGUGAAUUUAAGCUAAUCUCUAAAAAUAGGAUAUAAAUUUUAAGGAUUGUAGUCUGAAACUCGACUACAUGAAUAAGUAAUUACUAGUAAUCGUGAAUCACCAUGCCACGGUGAAU